rnacentral:rRNA from 1 species
ACGGGAGGCACCAGUGGGAAAUCUUCCACAAUGGACGAAAGUCUGAUGGAGCAACGCCGCGUGAGUGAAGAAGGCUUUCGGGUCGUAAAACUCUGUCUUCGGGGACGAAUGUACGGCUUGUGAAUAAUGAGUUGUAAUGACGGUACCCGAGGAGGAAGCCACGGCUAACUACGUGCCAGCAGCCGCGGUAAUACGUAGGUGGCAAGCGUUAUCCGGAAUUAUUGGGCGUAAAGCGCGCGCAGGCGGGAAUAUUAGUCUAUCUUCAAAGUGCGGAGCUCAACUCCGUGAUGGGGUAGAAACUGUAUUUCUUGAGUGCAGGAGAGGAAAGUGGAAUUCCCAGUGUAGCGGUGAAAUGCGUAGAGAUUGGGAGGAACACCAGUGGCGAAGGCGACUUUCUGGACUGUGUCUGACGCUGAGGCGCGAAAGCCAGGGGAGUGAACGGGAUUAGAUACCCCGGUAAUCCUGGCUGUAAACGAUGGGUACUAGGUGUUGGGGGUAUCGACCCCUCCAGUGCCGGAGUUAACGCAAUAAGUACCCCGCCUGGGGAGUACGAUCGCAAGGUU